GUGCCAGCCGCCGCGGUAAUACAGGGGGUGCAAACGUUGCUCGGAAUUAUUGGGCGUAAAGCGCGCGUAGGCGGUCGCUUAAGUCGGAUGUGAAAGCCCCUGGCUCAACUGGGGAAGUGCACCCGAAACUGAGUGGCUGGAGUACGAAAGAGGGCCGCGGAAUUCCCGGUGUAGAGGUGAAAUUCGUAGAUAUCGGGAGGAACACCGGUGGCGAAGGCGGCGGCCUGGGUCGAUACUGACGCUGAGGCGCGAAAGCGUGGGGAGCAAACAGGAUUAGAAACCCUAGUAGUCC
rnacentral:rRNA from 1 species